rnacentral:rRNA from 1 species
AGGGUUUGAUCAUGGCUCAGAACGUACGCUGGCGGCACGCCUAACACAUGCAAGUCGAACGAAGUAGCAAUACUUAGUGGCAGACGGGUGAGUAACAUGUAGGUAUCUGCCCUUUGGCCUGGAAUAACACGAGGAAACUUGUGCUAAUACCGGAUAAGUCUUUACGGAGAAAGCUUUAUGCACCAUUGGAUGAGCCUGCACUUGAUUAGUUUGUUGGUGGGGUAAUGGCCUACCAAGACUGUGAUCAAUAGCUGAUUUGAGAGGAUGAUCAGCCACAUUGGGACUGAGACACGGCCCAAACUCCUACGGGAGGCAGCAGUGGGGAAUCUUGCACAAUGGAGGAAACUCUGAUGCAGCGAUGCCGCGUGAGUGAAGAAGGCCUUUGGGUUGUAAAGCUCUUUCGUCGGGGAAGAAAAUGACUGUACCCGAAUAAGAAGGUCCGGCUAACUUCGUGCCAGCCGCCGCGGUAAUAC